GGAGAAGGGCCUUUGCUCACUGGUAGAGUAUCUGCUUUGUAUGCAGAAGGUUCCAAGUUCAAUCCUCAGCAUCUCCA